CUCCUUUUAGGCAAGCCACUGGAAUGGUGUCAAUAAAAGCAACUCAAUUAAAAUCACAUUCCGGAAUGAUCAGGAUAAAAUGGGUAUUUGUCUAACAGGCACAUUUCCAAAGCAACAUCCACUACUAUUUCCAUUCCAUGUCAUCAAACAUUUGGAUAUAUGGGAUAAAUGAAACGCCAUCUUAUAUUCAAAAGAACAUCCUUUACUUGGUUAGAGACGAGCAUGCUGGAAAAAAUUAAGUCUCGCAUUUAAAAAGAACACAAUAUCAAAAAAAAAAAGGAGGCCAUUAUCAUGAAAUUUUUAGCAAGAUCCCUGACAAAUGUUAACAAACUUUGGGUAACUUGUUAAUGACACAGCAAGCAUAGAUAGAUAGAUAUGGAGAGUGAGUAAGUGAGAACACCUUUUAUUCGUCUGAGCUCCUU
rnacentral:misc_RNA from 1 species